AUGAACGCUGGCGGCGUGCCUAACACAUGCAAGUCGAGCGGAGAUAAGGAAAGUAGCAAUACGAUCCGUAUCUUAGCGGCGGACGGGUGAGUAACACGUGAGCAACCUACCUUCGACAGGGGAAUAACACCGUGAAAAUGGUGCUAAUACCGCAUAACAUCAUAAUGUGGCAUCACAUGAUGAUCAAAGGAGCAAUCCGGUGGAAGAUGGACUCGCGCCCGAUUAGCUGGUUGGUGAGAUAACGGCCCACCAAGGCGACGAUCGGUAGCCGAACUGAGAGGUUGAUCGGCCACAUUGGGACUGAGACACGGCCCAGACUCCUACGGGAGGCAGCAGUGGGGAAUAUUGGGCAAUGGGCGCAAGCCUGACCCAGCAACGCCGCGUGAAGGAAGAAGGCUUUCGGGUUGUAAACUUCUUUGAUCAGGGACGAAAAAAAUGACGGUACCUGAAAAACAAGCCACGGCUAACUACGU
rnacentral:rRNA from 1 species